CCUACGGGAGGCAGCAGUGGGGGAUAUUGCACAAUGGGGGAAACCCUGAUGCAGCGACGCCGCGUGUGGGAAGACGGUCUUCUGGAUUGUAAACCACUGUCCCCAGGGACGAAAAUGACGGUACCUGGGGAGGAAGCUCCGGCUAACUACGUGCCAGCAGCCGCGGUAAUACGUAGGGAGCAAGCGUUGUCCGGAAUUACUGGGUGUAAAGGGAGCGUAGGCUGGGAUGGAAGUUGGGUGUCAAAACUACCGGCUCAACCGAUAGUCGCACUCAAAACUGCAACUCUUGAGUGAAGUAGAGGCAGGCGGAAUUCCUAGUGUAGCGGUGAAAUGCGUAGAUAUUAGGAGGAACACCAGUGGCGAAGGCGGCCUGCUGGGCUUUUACUGACGCUGAGGCUCGAAAGUGUGGGGAGCAAACAGGAUUAGAUACCCGUGUAGUC
rnacentral:rRNA from 1 species